AGGAAUAUAGCUCAGUGGUAGAGCACUUGCCUAGCAUGCAUGAGCCCCUGGGUUCAAUCCCCAGUACUA
rnacentral:tRNA from 1 species